rnacentral:rRNA from 1 species
UACGUAGGGUGCGAGCGUUAAUCGGAAUUACUGGGCGUAAAGCGUGCGCAGGCGGUUUUGUAAGUCAGAUGUGAAAUCCCCGGGCUCAACCUGGGAACUGCGUUUGAAACUACAAGGCUAGAGUGUAGCAGAGGGGGGUAGAAUUCCACGUGUAGCAGUGAAAUGCGUAGAGAUGUGGAGGAAUACCGAUGGCGAAGGCAGCCUCCUGGGCCAACACUGACGCUCAUGCACGAAAGCGUGGGGAGCAAACAGG